rnacentral:rRNA from 1 species
CAGAGGGUGCGAGCGUUAAUCGGAAUUACUGGGCGUAAAGCGUGCGUAGACGGUUAUUUAAGUCGGGUGUGAAAGCCCCGGGCUCAACCUGGGAAUUGCAUUCGAGACUGAAUAGCUAGGGUACGGUAGAGGGAAGUGGAAUUUCCGGUGUAGCGGUGAAAUGCGUAGAUAUCGGAAGGAACAUCAGUGGCGAAAGCGACUUCCUGGACCAGUACCGACGCUCAGGCACGAAAGCGUGGGGAGCAAACAGGAUUAGAUACCCUGGUAGUCCACGCCAUAAACGAUGAGGACUAGACGUUGGAGGGGUAAGCCUUUCAGUGUCGUAGCUAACGCGCUAAGUCCUCCGCCUGGGGAGUACGGCCGCAAGGUUG